AUUAUUAGGUCUUUCCACUUUUCCGUGGAAAGACCUAUUGAAUUUGUUCUGAUUAUUAUUAAGUCUUUCCACUUUUCUGUGGAAAGACUUAUUGUUUUUGUUCUGAUUAUUAUUAGGUCUUUCCACUUUUCCGUGGAAAGACCUAUUGUAUUUGUUCUGAUUAUUAUUAUUUUUUUUUUUUUUUUUUUUUUUUUUUUUUCUUCCGCCUAAAUUUUUUUCUUGCGUAGUAUUGAUGUUUCAAAAGAUGUCGCUUAGAUAUUUGGAAUAUGAUGUCGUAUAGUUUUAUACGCUUUAAAAAUUGACAACUGCGUAACAAAAUACUUUACGUUGUAAGAGUUAUCUCCCCAAACACUGUUUUUCUUGUGGCCACUACUCCUUCGCAACCGUAAAAGAUUACGACAAAUUUAUUUUACCAAAUUGCUCGUUACUUCUUCAGGAUUAGGCAAUUCAUUUGGACCGAAGCUAUCUGGAGACUCCAUAUGAGAGUUAUUUCCCCUUAUGCAUUUGAUAUAAGUGAUAUGCGUUUCUAACUGGUAAACCAUAAGUGAUAGAGACCUAGGGUCUCUUGAUUUGAGAUCCUUGGUCCAAAAAAAUGAAAAUAAGGUCAAGGUCAAAGGUCAAGGUCAUAUUCUAAAAUUUGAUUUUGGCUUAUUUUCACUUAUUUUCAAAUACUGUAUGACAUAUUGACAAAUAUUUUUUCCUAAAUUGUUAGUUGCGACAUGUCCUUACUUGUAUAUUUUGGUUGAAAGGGUGCGCAUACAAUAAAUUGGAGUUUUUGUCCAUCUUACAUUUAGAAUUACGCGUAAAGUGGUAUUACUCAUUAACCAAACAUAUUAAAGACCUAGGGUCUUAUGAUUUAAGGUCCUUGAUUUGUGACCUUGAAAUUGAGGUCAAGGUCAUAGGUUAAAAGGACGUUCUAGAUUUUGACCUUUGCUUUAAAUUCAUAUAAAUACAUCAUAAAGCCAUAGGAACUAACAUUUUAAA
rnacentral:lncRNA from 1 species